GCUGGCGGCAGGCCUAACACAUGCAAGUCGAGCGGUAACAUUUCUAGCUUGCUAGAAGAUGACGAGCGGCGGACGGGUGAGUAACGCGUAGAAAUCUACCUAGUAGUGGGGGAUAGCCCAGGGAAAUUUGGAUUAAUACCGCAUACGCCCUACGGGGGAAAGCGGGGGAUCUUCGGACCUCGUGCUAUUAGAUGAGUCUGCGUCGGAUUAGCUUGUUGGUGAGGUAAUGGCUCACCAAGGCGACGAUCCGUAGCUGGUCUGAGAGGAUGACCAGCCACACUGGAACUGAGACACGGUCCAGACUCCUACGGGAGGCAGCAGUGGGGAAUAUUGCACAAUGGGCGCAAGCCUGAUGCAGCCAUGCCGCGUGUGUGAAGAAGGCCUUAGGGUUGUAAAGCACUUUCAGCAGUGAGGAAAGGGGUGUCGUUAAUAGCGCCAUCCUGUGACGUUAACUGCAGAAGAAGGACCGGCUAACUCCGUG
rnacentral:rRNA from 1 species